rnacentral:rRNA from 1 species
CCAGACUCCUACGGGAGGCAGCAGUGAGGAAUAUUGGUCAAUGGACGGAAGUCUGAACCAGCCAAGUAGCGUGCAGGAUGACGGCCCUAUGGGUUGUAAACUGCUUUUGUAUGGGGAUAAAGUUAGGGACGUGUCCCUAUUUGCAGGUACCAUAUGAAUAAGGACCGGCUAAUUCCGUGCCAGCAGCCGCGGUAAUACGGAAGGUUCAGGCGUUAUCCGGAUUUAUUGGGUUUAAAGGGAGCGUAGGCUGGAGAUUAAGUGUGUUGUGAAAUGUAGACGCUCAACGUCUGACUUGCAGCGCAUACUGGUUUCCUUGAGUACGCACAACGUUGGCGGAAUUCGUCGUGUAGCGGUGAAAUGCUUAGAUAUGACGAAGAACUCCGAUUGCGAAGGCAGCUGACGGGAGCGCAACUGACGCUUAAGCUCGAAGGUGCGGGUAUCAAACAGGAUUAGAUACCCUGGUAGUCCGCACAGUAAACGAUGGAUGCCCGCUGUUGGUACCUGGUAUCAGCGGCUAAGCGAAAGCAUUAAGCAUCCCACCUGGGGAGUACGCCGGCAACGGUGAAACUCAAAGGAAUUGACGGGGGCCCGCACAAG